GAUGAACGCUGGCGGCGUGCCUAAUACAUGCAAGUCGAGCGAACGGACGCGACGCUUGCUUUUCUGAUGUUAGCGGCGGACGGGUGAGUAACACGUGGAUAACCUACCUAUAAGACUGGGAUAACUUCGGGAAACCGGAGCUAAUACCGGAUAAUAUUUUGAACCGCAUGGUUCAAAAGUGAAAGACGGUCUUGCUGUCUCUUAUCGAUGGAUCCGCGCUGCAUUAGCUAGUUGGUAAGGUAACGGCUUACCAAGGCAACGAUGCAUAGCCGACCUGAGAGAGUGAUCGGCCACACUGGAACUGAGACACGGACCAGACUCCUACGGGAGGCAGCAGUAGGGAAUCUUCCGCAAUGGUCGAAAGCCUGACGGAGCAACGCCGCGUGAGUGAUGAAGGUCUUCGGAUCGUAAAACUCUGUUAUUAGGGAAGAACAUAUGUGUAAGUAACUGUGCACAUCUUGACGGUACCUAAUCAGAAAGCCACGGCUAACUACGUG
rnacentral:rRNA from 1 species